rnacentral:rRNA from 1 species
CAUUGUCGAACCCUGCACAGCAGAAUGACCCGUGAACAUGUACUAACAACCGGGCGUCGUUUGGACGGGGCUCGUUUCCUGUCCUCGCGCUGCCCUGUCGGUGUGCGUGCGUGUUGGCCCGUUCUCGGGCCUUGAGCGCGUCGCGCCGGCACAACAACAAACCCCGGCACGGCACGUGCCAAGGAAUAUACUAAACCUAAGAAGGGCUCGCAGCCUGAUGCCCCGUUCGCGGUGUGCUCUUGCUGCGUGGCCUCUUUGUGAAUCACAAACGACUCUCGGCAACGGAUAUCUCGGCUCACGCAUCGAUGAAGAACGUAGCAAAAUGCGAUACUUGGUGUGAAUUGCAGAAUCCCGUGAACCAUCGAGUUUUUGAACGCAAGUUGCGCCCGAAGCCUUUUGGCCGAGGGCACGUCUGCCUGGGCGUCACGCAUCGCGUCGCCCCCCACCACGCAUCCCUUUUGGUGAUGCCUGGUGCGGGGGCGGAGAUUGGCCUCCCGUUCCAAUGGCGCGGUUGGCCAAAAUCUGAGUCCCCUUCGGUGGACGCACGGCAAGUGGUGGUUGAUAAAACUCUCGUCUCGUGUCGUGCGUUCUAAACCUCGAUGGGCUAGCUCUCCAAAGACCCCAACGUGUCGUCUCGCGACGAUGCUUCGACCGCGACCCCAGGUCAGGCGGGACUACCC